GGGGCUGGAGCUCAGUGGUUUUGAGCAUCUGCUUUUCAUACAGGAGGUCUCAGGUUCAAUCCCUAGCAUCUCCA